GGGAGAGGUUGCUAUUUUAGACCUCCCGGGGGUGGGAGACACAAACUAUGAAAAAAAGGCUUGCGCUGGUGUCCCACCCAAUACGAGAUCCUGGCUCAGGAUGAACGCUGGCGGUAUGCUUAACACAUGCAAGUCGAACGGGCUCUUUCGGGGGCAAGUGGCGGACGGGUGAGUAACGCGUGAGAAUCUGGCUCUAGGUUCGGGACAACCACUGGAAACGGUGGCUAAUACCGGAUGUGCCGAGAGGUGAAAGGUUAACUGCCUGGAGAUGAGCUCGCGUCUGAUUAGCUAGUUGGUGGUGUAAGGGACUACCAAGGCGACGAUCAGUAGCUGGUCUGAGAGGAUGAUCAGCCACACUGGAACUGAGACACGGUCCAGACUCUUACGGGAGGCAGCAGUGGGGAAUUUUCCGCAAUGGGCGAAAGCCUGACGGAGCAAUACCGCGUGAGGGAGGAAGGCUCUUGGGUUGUAAACCUCUUUUCUCAGGGAAUAAGCAAGUGAAGGUACCUGAGGAAUCAGCAUCGGCUAACUCCGUGCCAGCAGCCGCGGUAAUACGGAGGAUGCAAGCGUUAUCCGGAAUGAUUGGGCGUAAAGCGUCCGUAGGUAGCAGUGUGUGUCUAUUGUUAAAGAGUUUGGCUUAACCAAAUAAAGGCGGUAGAAACUACACAGCUAGAGUGCGUUCGGGGCAGAGGGAAUUCCUGGUGUAGCGGUGAAAUGCGUAGAGAUCAGGAAGAACACCGGUGGCGAAAGCGCUCUGCUAGGCCGCAACUGACACUGAGGGACGAAAGCUAGGGGAGCGAAUGGGAUUAGAUACCCCAGUAGUCCUAGCCGUAAACGAUGGAUACUAGGCGUUGAGAGUAUCGACCCUCUCAGUGCCGUAGCUAACGCGUUAAG
rnacentral:rRNA from 1 species